GCUUGUCUCAAAGAUUAAGCCAUGCAUGUCUAAGUAUAAACAAAUUUAUAGUGAAACUGCGAAUGGCUCAUUAUAUCAGUUAUAGUUUAUUUGGCGAUAAAAACUACUUGGAUAACCGUAGUAAUUCUAGAGCUAAUACAUGCUAAAAACCUCGACUUCGGAAGGGGUGUAUUUAUUAGAUAAAAAACCAAUGCCCUCCGGGGCUCCUUGGUGAUUCAUAAUAACUUAACGAAUCGCAUGGCCUUGCGCCGGCGAUGGUUCAUUCAAAUUUCUGCCCUAUCAACUUUCGAUGGUAAGAUAGUGGCUUACCAUGGUCUCAACGGGUAACGGGGAAUUAGGGUUCUAUUCCGGAGAGGGAGCCUGAGAAACGGCUACCACAUCCAAGGAAGGCAGCAGG
rnacentral:rRNA from 1 species